AUGGGACAUUUUGGACUAGACAAGAUGUUCGCCACGCUCUCGAAGAACUACUUUUGGCCCAAGAUGUUUCGCGACGUCAACCGCUUCACCAACCGAUGCUCUACAUGUUGCAAAGCUAAGUCCAAAGCUCAAUCCCAUGGCCUUUAUAUGCCUCUACCAAUUCCAUAUCAACCAUGGGAAGAUAUUAGCAUGGACUUUGUACUUGGUUUUCCUAGGACUCGAAAUGGGAAGGAUUCGGUAUUUGUCAUUGUGGAUCAUUUCUCAAAAAUGGCACAUUUCAUUCUUUGCAACAAGAUAGACGAUGCUUCACAUGUUGCUACUCUCUUUUGUAGGGAAAUAUUGCGUCUACACGGAGUGCCAAAGACGAUCGUCUCGGACCGCGACGUCAAGUUCCUUAGUUACUUUUGGAAGGCCCUAUGCGCCAAGCUAGGAAUCAAGCUACUUUUCUCUACGGCAUAUCAUCCACAAACCGACGGCCAACCAGAAGUUACCAACCGCACACUCUCUGCUCUACUUCGAGUACUCAUCAAGAAGAACAUCAAGGAGUGGGAGGAGUGCCUACCUAUCGCCGAGUUCGCCUACAACUGA
rnacentral:rRNA from 1 species